rnacentral:lncRNA from 10 species
AGCGUUUCAGUUUUUGAAAAACGGAAAAAAAUGGUUAAAUUCACAAGAAGCUAACAAUGAAAGUGCCUGAUACAAAUAAAUGAGAAAAGCCAACAUCACAGACUGUAAAAACAAUGACUUCGGGAGGUUGAGGUCACUUGAGGUCAGGGGUUGGAGACCAGCCUGAGCAACAUAGCAAAACCCUAUCUCUAUAAAAAAAAAAAAAUGUUUUAAAAUUAGCUGGGUGUGGUGGCUCAUGCCUGUGGUCCAAGCUACUUGGGAGACAGAGGCAGGAGGAUCACUUGAGCCAGGAGAUCAAGGCUGUAGUGAGCCGUGAUGGCACCACUGGACUGCAGCCUGGGUGACAAAGCGAGACCCUGUCUAUAGAAAACCUAAAAUAGGCUGGGUACGGCAGCUUUUUAAAGAACAGGAUCUGAGGGAGGCUUGAGGACAGGGUGUCCUGGGCUGGAGGUCCGGCUGGAAGGCAGCUUUUAAAAGAACGGGAUGUGUUCGUUCUGUAGGUGAAAGGAGCUCAGUAAGUGCUUAUAUUGGGGCCCAAAUAGUGUUUGCCAGGAAUGUAUACACUCAGCCUCUGCAGUACACUUUCCCUGCUUGAGGAAAUUCUAUCCUCCUACUGAAACUGAGAUAAAUUAAAAUGUAUAUUGUAAUACCUAUAGCAGUAAGAAAAUAACAACUUUAAAGAUACUGUUUAAAAAUGUUCAACAAAAGAAUUGAAGUGGUACACUAGAAAACACAACUAGAAAAUACACAUUUAACAGAAAAGAAGGCAGUGAAAGAACAGAGGAGCAAAACAUGAAACAUAAACUGCAAAUAUAAACACAAAUCCACUCACAUUGAUAAUUACAUUAAACAUGAGAUUAGGUUUUGCGCAGUGGCUCAUGCCUAUAAUCCCAGCACUUUGGGAGGCCAAGGUGGGAGGGUUACUUGAGCCCAGGAGUUCAAGACCAGCCUGGCCAACAUGGCAAAACCCUCUCUCUACGAAAAAUACAAAAAUUAGCCUGGCAUGGUGGUGCAUGCCUGUAAUCCCAACUACUUGGGAGGCUGAGGCAGGAGAAUCGCUUGAACCCGGGAGGCAGAGGCUGCAGUGAGCCGAGAUUGCGCCACUGCACUCUAGCCUGGGCAACCGUGCGAGACUCCAUCACACACACACACAACAACAACAACAAAAACGGGCAUGGUGGCGGGUGCCUGUAAUCCCAGUUACUUGGGAGGCUGAAGGAGGAGUAUUGCUUGAACCCGGGAAGCGGAGGUUGCACUGAGCUGAGAUUGUGCCACUGCACUCUGGCCUGGGUGACAGAGAGAGACCCCACUUAAAAAAAAAAACAAAACAGCUGGGUGUGGUGGCUCACACCUAUAAUCCCAGCAGUUUGGGAGGCCGAGGCGGGCGGAUCACUUGAGGUCAGGAGCUCAAGACCAGCCUGACCAACAUGGUGAAACCCUGUGUCUACUAAAAGUACAAAAAUUAGCCGGGUCUGAUGGCACACUCCUGCAGUCCCAGUUACUCGGGAGAAUGAGGCACGAGAAUCCCUUAAACCCAGGAGGUGGAGGCUGCAGUGAGCCGAGAUUACGCCAGUGCACUCCAGCCUGGGCAACAAAGUGAUACUCUGUCUCAAUUCAAAAAACAAAACAGGCCGAGUUCCAGUGCGGUGGCUCACACCUGUAAUCUUAGAACUUUGGGAGGCUGAGGCGAGUGGAUCACCUGAGGUCAGGAGUUCGAGACCAGCCUUGCCAACACGGAGAAACCCCAUCUCUACUAAAAACACAAAAAUUAGUUGGACGUGGUGGCUCAUGCCUAUAAUCCCAGCUACUCAGGAGGCUGAGGAAGGGAAAUCACUUGAACCCGGGACGUUGAGGUUGCAGUGGGCUGAGAUCGUGCCAUUGCACUCCAGCCUGGCGACAGAGUGAGAUUGUCUAAAAAACAAAAACAAAAACAAAAACAAAAACAAAACAAAAAAGUAGAUUAAACACUCCAAUCAAAAGGCAGAGACUAGUGUGGUGGUUCACACCUGUAAUCCCACCACUUUGGGAGGCUGAGGCGGGUGAAUCUCUUGAGGUCAGGAGUUUGAGACCAGCCUGGCCAACAUGGUGAAACCCGUCUCUAUUAAAAAUACAAAAAUUAGCUGAGUGUGGUGGCAGGAGCCUGUAAUCCCAGCUACUUGGGAGGCUGAGCUAUGAGAAUCACUUGAACCCAGGAGAUGGAGGUUGCAGUGAGUGGAGAUGGAGCCACUGCAUUCCAGCCUGGGGGACAGAGUGACAGUCCGUCUCAAAAAAAAAAAAAAAAAAAAAAAAAAGGCAGAGACUAUCAGACUAGAUUAAAACCUAAGAUCCAACCACAUUCUGUCUCUAAGGGAAUGCUUAAGAGCCAAGGACACAAAAUUAGAAGUAACAAGAUGUUUGUUUAUUUAUAUGUUUAUUUAAUUAAAAAAUAGAAACAGGGUCUCGCUUUGUUGGCCAGGCUGGCCCUGGGCUCAAGAGAUCCUCCCCUCUUGGCCUCCCAAAGUGUUGGGAUGACUGGUGUGGGCCACUGCACCCAGCCAAAAAGGUUUUUUUUAAAAAGAUGCAGGCUGGGCGCAGUGACUCAUGCCUGUCAUCCCAGCACUUUGGGAGGCCAAGCGGGGGUGGAACACUUGAGUCCAAGGGGUCGAGACCAGCCUGGGCAAAAUGGCGAAACCCCGUCUCAACUAAAAAUACAAAGAAUUAGCUGGGCGUGGGGCGUGUAUCUGUAGAGGCUGCCGUGAGUCAAGAUCAUGCCACUGCGCUCCAGUCUGGGUGACAGAGUGAGACUCUGUCUCAAAAGUAAAAGAUGCAAACAUUCACCAUAAGACAGGUGGAGUGUCUAUGCUACUAUCAGAAAAGGUAAUUUUUUUUUUUUGAGAUGGAGUCUCGCUCUGUUGCCCAGACUAGAGUGCAGUGGAGUGAUCUUGGCUUACUGCAACCUCCGCCUCCCAGGUUCAAGCAAUCCUCCUGCCUCAGCCCCGCUAGUAGCUGGGAUUACAGGCACGCGCCACCACGCCUGGCUAAUUUUUGUGUUUUUAGUAGAGAUGGGGUCUUACCAUGUUAGCCAAGCUGGUCUCAAACUCCCGACCGGUGAUCCACCUGCCUCAGCCUCCCAAAGUGCUGGGAUGACAGGCGUGAGCCACUGUGCCCAGCUAGAAAAAGUAAAUUUUAAUAUAAAAACUUCUGUUGGCUGGUGUAGUGCCUCAUGCCUAUAAUCCUAGCACUUUGGGAGGCUGACAUGGGAGGAUCGCCCGAAGCCAGGAGAUGGAGACCAGGCUGGUCAACAUAGUAAGACUCCAUCUCUGUAAGAAAAAAAAAAAAAAAAUUAAAUAAAAAAUAAAAAACUUAUUGAGACAAAGAAGGAUGUUUUAUAAUGAUAAAAGAGCUAAUUCAUCAGGAAUGAUAAUUAUAAACUAAACAUACAUGCACCUAACAACAGAGACCCAAAAUAAAUGAAGCAAAAACAGGCAUAAUGGCAGAUAAAAACAGAUAAUUCAGCUGGGCACGGUGGCUCACGCCUGUAAUCCCAGCACUUUGAAAGGAGACUGAGGAGGGCAGAUCACAAGGUCAGGAGAUCGAGACCAUCCUGGCUAACACAGUGAAACCCUGUCUCUACUAAAAAUACAAAAAAUCAGCCGGGCGUGGUGGCGGGUGCCUGUGGUCCCAGCUACUCGGGAGGCUGAGGCAGGAGAAUGGCGUGAACCUGGGAGGCGGAGCUUGCGGUGAGCUGAGAUGGCGCCACUACACUCCAGCCUGGGCGACAGAGCGAGACUCCGUCUCAAAAACAAAAACAAAAACCAGAUAAUUCAACAGUAAUAGCUGGAGAGUUCAACACUUCACUCUAAAUAAGGGGUAGAACAAAUAGAGAAAAUCAGUGAGAAUAUGAAAGAGUUGAACAAUACUAUCAACCAACCUAACUGAUAUCUAAUACUCCACCCAACAGAGCAGAAUAUACAAGCAACACUCUCCAUGAUAAGACCAUACGCUAGGCCCUAACACAAAUCUCAAUAAAUUUAAAGGUACUGAAAAACACUAAGUAUGUUCUUGAACCACAAUGUAAUUAAAGUAGAAAUUAAUUAUAAAGGUACAUUUAAGAAAUCCAGAAAUAUUUGAAAUUAGCAUACUUCUUUUUUAGAUCUACUCCUGAAUCCAGCACACACUUCCAAAUAACUCAUAGGUCACAGAAAAAAAUCACACGGCAAAUAUUUUCAACUGCAUAAAAUAUUCGAACUGAAUAAAGAUGAAACACAGGCUGGGUGCCGUGGCUCACACUUGCAAUCCCAGCAAUUUGGGAGGCCGAGGCAGGCAGAUCACUUGAGGCCAGAAGUUUGAGACCAGCCUGGGCAACAUGGUGAAACCCUGUCUCUACUAAAAACAUAAAAAUUAGCCGGGGGUGGAGGUGCAUGCCUGUAAUCCCAGCUACUCGGGAGGCUGAGGUAGGAGAAUCACUUGAACCCGGGAGGCAGAGGUUGCAGUGAGCCGAGAUCUUGCCACUGCACUCCAGCCUGGGCUACAGAGCAAAACUGUCUCAAAAAGAAAAUAGAGAAGGAGGGCAGAAGGGCACACUUCCCAAUUGAUCUGAAAGGCCAGUGUUGCUCUGACACCAACAUGAAACAAAGACAUCACAGGACAAAAUAUAGACCAGCAUCUCUCAUAAAUAUGAGAAAAAAAAACCAUCAAAAAGAUUAGUAAAGCUGCUGGGAACAGUAGCUCACACCUCUAAAUCCCAGCACUUUGGGAGGCCAAGGUGGGUGGAUCACCUGAGGUCAGGAGUUCGAGACCAGCUUGCCCAACGUGGUGAGACCCCGUCUCUACUAAAAAUACAAAAAUUAGCCAGGUAUGGUGGCGCAUGCCUGUAAUCCCAGCUACUCG